UACGAAGGGGGCUAGCGUUGUUCGGAAUUACUGGGCGUAAAGCGCGCGCAGGCGGUUCUUCAAGUCAGUGGUGAAAGCCCGGAGCUCAACUCCGGAAUUGCCUUUAAGACUGCAUCGCUAGAAUUGUGGAGAGGUAAGUGGAAUUCCGAGUGUAGAGGUGAAAUUCGUAGAUAUUCGCAAGAACACCAGUGGCGAAGGCGGCUCACUGGCUCGAUACUGACGCUGAGGCACGAAAGCGUGGGGAGCAAACAGG
rnacentral:rRNA from 1 species